CAGUAGCCACGGGAAUACGUAGGUGGCAAGCGUUGUCCGGAAUUAUUGGGCGUAAAGCGCGCGCAGGCGGUUUCUUAAGUCUGAUGUGAAAGCCCCCGGCUUAACCGGGGAGGGUCAUUGGAAACUGGGAGACUUAGAGUGCAGAAGAGGAGAGUGGAAUUCCAUGCGUAGCGGUGAAAUGCGUAGAUAUAUGGAGGAACACCAGUGGCGAAGGCGACUCUCUGGUCUGUAACUGACGCUGAGGCGCGAAAGCGUGGGGAGCAAACAGGAUUAGAUACCCCAGUAGUCCCUGUCUCUUAUA
rnacentral:rRNA from 1 species